rnacentral:piRNA from 1 species
UGGGCCUAUCAGACAAGGAUCAGGUUUGC